rnacentral:rRNA from 1 species
AANUGGAANUGGGGGAACCCUGAUCCAGCCAUCCCGCGUGAGUGAUGAAGGCCUUCGGGUUGUAAAGCUCUUUUACCCGGGAAGAUAAUGACUGUACCGGGAGAAUAAGCUCCGGCUAACUUCGUGCCAGCAGCCGCGGUAAUACGAAGGGGGCUAGCGUUGUUCGGAAUUACUGGGCGUAAAGCGCGCGCAGGCGGUUUCUCAAGUCAGUGGUGAAAGCCCGGAGCUCAACUCCGGAACUGCCAUUGAAGCUGUGAAACUUGAGGACGAGAGAGGUGAGUGGAAUUCCCAGUGUAGAGGUGAAAUUCGUAGAUAUUGGGAAGAACACCGGUGGCGAAGGCGGCUCACUGGCUCGUUUCUGACGCUCAGGCGCGACAGCGUGGGGAUCAAACAGGAUUAGAUACCCUGGUAGUCCACGCCGUAAACGAUGAACGCUAGCCGUUGGAUAGCUUGCUAUUCAGUGGCGCAGCUAACGCAUUAAGCGUUUCGCCUGGGGAGUACGGCCGCAAGGUUGAAACUCAAAAGAAUUGACGGA